AAAGACUGCAGUUUUACAUAUUUUCAUAUCCAACGUUUAACCGUCCGUCUUAUUUGAAAUUUUCUUAUGAUUAGUAUUUUUGUUGUUAUUAAAUGAUAAAAUAUUAAUAGUAUUUUAUGUGUGACUAAUUUUUUAGUUUUUUUAUAAAUUUUUCAAAUAAGACGGAUGGUCAAACAUUGAACACAUAAACCCUCAACUGCAUUUAAA
rfam:Oryza sativa (indica cultivar-group) chromosome 12, whole genome shotgun sequence.